rnacentral:rRNA from 1 species
AUUGAACGCUGGCGGCAUGCUUUACACAUGCAAGUCGAACGGUAACAGGCCGCAAGGUGCUGACGAGUGGCGCACGGGUGAGUAAUGCAUCGGAACGUGCCCAGUCGUGGGGGAUAACUACUCGAAAGAGUAGCUAAUACCGCAUACGAUCUAUGGAUGAAAGCGGGGGACCGUAAGGCCUCGCGCGAUUGGAGCGGCCGAUGUCAGAUUAGGUAGUUGGUGGGGUAAAGGCUCACCAAGCCAACGAUCUGUAGCUGGUCUGAGAGGACGACCAGCCACACUGGGACUGAGACACGGCCCAGACUCCUACGGGAGGCAGCAGUGGGGAAUUUUGGACAAUGGGCGCAAGCUUGAUCCAGCAAUGCCGCGUGGAGGAAGAAGGCCUUCGGGUUGUAAACUGCUUUUGUACGGAACGAAACGGCUCUGGUUAAUACCCGGGGCUAAUGACGGUACCGGAAGAAUAAGCAGCGGCUAACUACGUG